GUGAAACAUGCCAGUUCCUGCGGGAUAUGGAGCCCAAGGGCCCAGCUGCUUUGACAGGAUGAAGAUGGGAUUUGGAAUUGGAUUCUGCGUCGGCAUGGCAAGCGGAGCUAUUUUUGGAGGCUUUUCUGCACUGAGGUACGGGCUUCGUGGCCGGGAGCUGAUCAACAAUGUGGGCAAAGUGAUGCUCCAAGGUGGUGCGGUACCUUCGGCACGUUCAUGGCAAUAGGCACGGGAAUCCGGUGCUGAAGGAUCUCGUCUACCGUGUGUAUUUCACCAGAAUGAUUGCUGAGUCUGAUCAUUAUUUGGAGUCGUGUUAUGGAGUGCAAUGUACGCAAACGUCAAGUUGUGGAAUUUAUAGUAUAACCCCGUGUAAAAUAAAGGCUUUGGGAGAAAACACUGA